GCGCUGGUGGUUCAGUGGUAGAAUUCUCGCCUGUCACGCGGGAGCCCGGGUUCGAUUUCCCGCUAGCGCA
rnacentral:tRNA from 1 species